rnacentral:rRNA from 1 species
AUUAGUGUCCAGUCUUGUGACGGCGUACCUUUUGUAUAAUGGGUCAUCGACUUGGUCUAUCUAGCAAGCUUAAGCCGUUAGGUGUAGGCGCAGCGAAAGCGAGUCUGAAUAGGGCGAAUGAGUUAGAUGGAUCAGACCCGAAACCGAGUGAUCUAGGCAUGACCAGGCUGAAGGUAAGGUAACACUUACUGGAGGGCCGAACCCACACCUGUUGAAAAAGGUCGGGAUGAGUUGUGCCUAGGGGUGAAAGGCCAAUCAAACUCGGAGAUAGCUGGUUCUCUGCGAAAUCUAUUUAGGUAGAGCGUCAUCCGAAUACCCUCGGGGGUAGAGCACUGGAUGGGUAAUGGGGCCCCACAGGCUUACUGAUCCUAACCAAACUCCGAAUACCGAGGAGUACUAGAUGGCAGACACACUGCGGAUGCUAACGUCCGUAGUGAAGAGGGAAACAACCCUGACCUACAGCUAAGGCCCCCAAUUCGUGGCUAAGUGGGAAAGCAGGUGGGACGACCAAAACAACCAGGAGGUUGGCUUAGAAGCAGCCAUCCUUUAAAGAUAGCGUAACAGCUCACUGGUCUAAACAAGUUGUCCUGCGGCGAAGAUGUAACGGGGCUCAAGCCACGAGCCGAAGCUUAGGAUGCCGUAAGGCAUGGUAGCAGAGCGUAGUGUGACAUAGGUCCAUUCCUCCUUAGCGCCUUCGGGCGUGUUGGAGGAGAGGAGCUUUCGAUGAAGCGGGCGCGUGAGCGAUCCCGUGGAGAGAUCACUAGCGAGAAUGAUGACAUGAGUAGCGACAAACAGGGUGAGAGACCCUGUCGCCGAAAGUCCAAGGGUUCCUGCUUAAAGCUAAUCUGAGCAGGGUAAGCCGACCCCUAAGGCGAGGCCGAAAGGCGUAGUCGAUGGGAACCAGGUUAAUAUUCCUGGGCCAGAUGGAAGUGACGGAUCUCGAAGGUUGUUCGUUCUUAUCGGAUUGAACGGGCCGCUCAGAGGUUCCUGGAAAUAGCUCCAUCGCUAGAUCGUACCCUAAACCGACACAGGUGGACUGGUAGAGAAUACCAAGGCGCUUGAGAGAACGAUGUUGAAGGAACUCGGCAAAAUACCUCCGUAAGUUCGCGAGAAGGAGGCCCAGUUUCUACGCAAGUAUUGGCUGGGGGCACAAACCAGGGGGUGGCGACUGUUUACUAAAAACACAGGGCUCUGCGAAGUCGCAAGACGACGUAUAGGGUCUGACGCCUGCCCGGUGCCUGAAGGUUAAAAGGAGGGGUGAGAGCUCUGAAUUGAAGCCCAGGUAAACGGCGGCCGUAACUAUAACGGUCCUAAGGUAGCGAAAUUCCUUGUCGGGUAAGUUCCGACCUGCACGAAUGGCGUAACGACUUCCCCGCUGUCUCCAACAUCGACUCAGCGAAAUUGAAUUGCCUGUCAAGAUGCAGGCUUCCCGCGGUUAGACGGAAAGACCCCGUGCACCUUUACUACAGCUUCGCACUGGCAUCAGGAUUGUGAUGUGCAGGAUAGGUGGUAGGCUUUGAACCCGUGACGCCAGUCGCGGUGGAGCCUCCCUUGAGAUACCACCCUUCGCACUCUUGAUGUCUAACCGCGGUCCGUUAUCCGGAUCCGGGACCCUGCGUGGCGGGUAGUUUGACUGGGGCGGUCGCCUCCUAAAGCGUAACGGAGGCGCGCGAAGGUUGGCUCAGAGCGGUCGGAAAUCGCUCGUUGAGUGCAAUGGCAGAAGCCAGCCUGACUGCAAGACUGACAAGUCGAGCAGAGUCGAAAGACGGCCAUAGUGAUCCGGUGGUCCCGAGUGGAAGGGCCAUCGCUCAACGGAUAAAAGGUACGCCGGGGAUAACAGGCUGAUACUGCCCAAGAGUCCAUAUCGACGGCAGUGUUUGGCACCUCGAUGUCGGCUCAUCUCAUCCUGGGGCUGGAGCAGGUCCCAAGGGUAUGGCUGUUCGCCAUUUAAAGAGGUACGUGAGCUGGGUUUAGAACGUCGUGAGACAGUUCGGUCCCUAUCUGCCGUGGGUGUAGGAUACUUGAGAGGAGUUGCCCCUAGUACGAGAGGACCGGGGUGAACGAUCCACUGGUGGACCUGUUGUCGUGCCAACGGCAGUGCAGGGUAGCUAUGAUCGGACAGGAUAACCGCUGAAGGCAUCUAAGCGGGAAGCCCCCCUCAAAACAAGGUAUCCCCGAGGGCCGUGGUAGACCACCACGUCGAUAGGCCGGAGAUGUAAGCGCAGCAAUGCGUUCAGUUGACCGGUACUAAUUGCCCGAUAGGCUUGAUUUGAAAUCAAGCGCGAGAAGGGCGUUUGGUGGAUGCCUUGGCAGUAAGAGGCGAUGAAGGACGUGAUACUCUGCGAUAAGCCAUGAGGAGCUGAGAAUAAGCUUUGAUCCAUGGAUUUCCGAAUGGGGCAACCCAUCUGACAGUUGAUUAUAAUUGCCUCUGGCGAUUUAUAAUUGGCUGAACCAGAUACUUAAAACCUGAAUACAUAGGGUUUUAAGAGCAAACCCGGAGAACUGAAACAUCUAAGUACCCGGAGGAAAGGACAGCAAUAGCUACUCCCCUAGUAGCGGCGAGCGAACGGGGACCAGCCGAGCCUUGAGAGUGACCAGAACAUGUUGGGAAGCAUGGCCAUAGCGGGUGACAGCCCCGUAUGGGAAGCUCGAUGGGACGUAUUAAGUAGGGCGGGACACGUGAAAUCCUGUCUGAAGAUCGGAGGACCACCUUCGAAGGCUAAGUACUCCUUACUGACCGAUAGCGAACCAGUACCGUGAGGGAAAGGUGAAAAGCACCCCGACGAGGGGAGUGAAACAGUACCUGAAACCGGACGCCUACAAUCAGUCGGAGCUUGACUGGACUCUAAUGACAAUCU